rnacentral:rRNA from 1 species
CGUAAACAACCUGCCUUAAGGAUGGGGAUAACAGACGGAAACGACUGCUAAUACCGAAUACGUUCUAAGCAUCGCAUGGUGCAUAGAAGGAAGGGUGGCCUCUACAAGAAAGCUAUCGCCUUAAGAGGGGUUUGCGACUGAUUAGGUAGUUGGUGAGGUAACGGCUCACCAAGCCGACGAUCAGUAGCCGGUCUGAGAGGAUGAACGGCCACACUGGAACUGAGACACGGUCCAG